GAAAAUCUAUAUUCAAACUUGGGUAGUCGCAAUAUUUGACAUCUGAAUCUGAUAUGUAAUCUCAGCAGGUUUCAAUCAAAUUCGUCCACGUAUCAUAGGAUUCUAGAUUCCACCUACAAAUUCCAAUAACCCUGUACAAACCCAGAAUGGAGGUACAGAGAUUCCAUUUUGUAUUCUUACAUGCCGAGUGACAAUCUACCUUUAUUUUUUGCCCCCCAAUUGAAACUCUGAAAAAGAGUAGAAAUUCUAAGCGGAAACAUACAUUAAAUCCAAUCGCGCAACAACUGUUUGAUUCACAGUUCCAAUUAUCGCAAGACAAUAACUUAGUAACCUGUACAAUUCACCCAGAAAUGUACGAAGCCAAAGUCUAUUAGAAGAGGCUUCAAACCAUCAUGAAUAAGUGCUUCGUCAGUCUUCCUCUGCUUCAUCAUCUUCAGGCAGCCCCAUGUCAUCUCCGAUACCUUCAAGCAGUUUAUCUACAUCCUCUCCUAGCUCCGACAGCCUUGCACACAGCUUUUCUACCUUACUCUGUUCUUGCCCAAGGCACACUAGCAAAUCAUUCAGUUCUGCUUCACUCUCUUUCUGGGCUUCUUCCCUAGCUUCUGCCUUUAGUGCUUCAAUAUCUGGAACUGUCGAUGCUCCACCAUUCUUCAAAGCUCUCACCUCCUUUUCUAGAUGGAAGUUGGCCUGUUCAAGGCUGUUGUAAGCAUCAGACAGACUCUUUAGAUCUGACUCCAUCUUCCCAGCUAAAUUCUGGUACAUGGAUGCCUCAGAUUCAAUUUUGGCCUUUUCUACUUUGAGCAUCUCUAUACGUUGAGAAGCUUCCUCAAGAUCUCUUCUGAGUGUCUCUGCUUGGACUCUUUCUAAGCCCCCACUUGCACUUUGUUCAGUUUGGGAAGAGCCACGCCCACCUGUCUUGGCCAGUUCCUCUGCCAAAGUUGCAUUCCGACCAAGAAGAUUCUGUAUCUCAGAGCAUUGCUUCUCCACAAAUGAUUUCAGCCGCUUGAUAUAGUCUUCAUCACUUUCUCCACUCUUCUGAUCCAAUUCAGCAGGCACAACUGCUACCUCACUUUUUGGACGACUGUAUAUAUCUGCAAUAGUUUCUCUGAUAUCUGUCUCCACCCUCUUGACAAAGUUAACAAAAGAGCUGUCAAAUAUUGACGAGAGAAUAGGAUGAUCCUCAUUAUUUUGAUCAGAGGAAUCCUGCUCAUCAACAUCUUCAAUCUCUGCCAUGCUAGCUGCAGCAGAUCUUGUCAUUGGUUUAUGAGGUUCUACUUGCUUUGCAGAGGAGAAAACGAAGCUUUUCAUCAUUUCAUCGAACUUGAGAAAGUAUGAUGUGAGCCCAACUUUCUGACUUAUCGCAUCAACUACAGUAAAAGCAUCCUUUCCACUUUCACCAGACUUGUUGUAAAUAACACACUCUCCCAAAAGAACUGCUGCCAAGCCCCUUAUGUACACAGUUGCAGAUGGAUUUGAUGCCAACUCAAGAAGAUACGUUAGGUGGGGACGUGAAUCAAGGAAGCACUGAACUCCAGUGGAGCAGUCAGCCAACCAAGUGACCAGCAAUUUCAAAAUAAUUGGUUGAACAUACAAGUUCCCCAUUGAACUUGACUUUGUAUCUUUGUUUUUCAUGCUGGAGGCAAGAGCCAAGUACUUCACCAUGCGGUGCAUUAGUGGCUCUGCAGCUCCAAAGGAUGGCAUAGGUGACUCGAGUUCAAUUCGUAUUACCUUCUCCUUGCACUGGAUAUUGUCCUUAAGCACAUGAGAAAGUACACUAGCAGCCCUGCAACAGGUCUGCACUUCAAGAUAUUAGCCAGACUUUUCAAGUGUGAAACAUAAAGAAAUAAAUCUCAGGUUCUAUUCAAUGCAUCUCAAUAUUUACAAUUCACUGUAAUUUUCUAUGAGAAAAGCCAACUACUUCCGGCUUUUUUUUUUUCAAAUAAUAUUAUGAAAUAUUAAAAGAUUACCUCAAGAUCUCCAUCACUUUCACUCAAAGUCAGACCAUGUAACAGCAUGCUGUGACAGAUCAUCCAUAAAACAUUCAAUUUAGGCAAUAAAAAUUUUCAUAUGGCCAGGUCAAAAAUAGAAUAAUAAAUUAAAAAAAAAAAAAUCAUUAAAUGCACUUGAAACAAACAGACCUUCCAAAAGACAUGUUAACAUCCUCCUCUAUGGGAGCAUUAGUCAUUGAAUGUGGUUGAGGGAUUAAUGUAGACGCUAACAUAGUUUGACUAUCAGAAUUUGUCUGAACAAAUAUGACAAAUGUCCAAAUUAGAUAUCUGAACUACUCAAUCAGUCAAUCAGCAUAAAUGAAAUAUGUGAAAAUUGGAGAUACUAGCCUAUUGCAGAUUUUACAUAUUCAGAAACUAAAGGGUUUAAUACAUUCAAUAGUUACACCAGCAUAGGGAAUCAUGAGUCUAAAGAGCAAAUAAUUGAAGUAACCUCACAAAAACUCUUAAAAACAUGGUCAGCUGCCGUGAACUCUUGCAUACUGGAUGUCCGCAAAAUGAUUCGAAGAAUGGAAUUUAAAGCAGGUUCUACUUGUGGCUCCUCACCCAGAACUUUGGUUGCAAGAGCAUCAAGAUUUUUGGGAUGUCCAGCAAUCAAAUUACCGAUACAACGCAAUGCCUACCAAAGAAAUUAAUCUGAAUAAAAUGGCACAUAAUUUAAUUGAGAAGGAGGGGGAAAAAUAGUCCAAGACUUAUAGACAAAGAACCAAGAAUAAGACUGAUCCACUUAUCGGUGAACUGAUAAAGUAUAUUCCCAUAGGCCAUAGGAUGUAAAUCAUCUGAAAAACAUACUCCAAGUUUAAAGAUUCUUCUUUAGACGGCUAUAGUUACUGUCUCCUAUCACUGGCAAAAACAAUUAAGAAGGUUCAAGAAAGACGUCUUACCCCACAACGUACAUCAACGGGAGUCCAUUGGCUUUCAACACCUAGCAUUAGAAGAUAAUCCAAAACCUUUAUCUGAACCAGGACUGUUUUAUUGGUCAGCUUGUUUGUGUCUUUUCCAGGAUCUGCACCCCCUACCAUUAACAAAUUAAUGGUUUCCAAUGCACUGAGUAGAUUGAUCGUCUACUUCUGUUGGGUAAAACUGUACGAACUUCCUCGUAGCUUCAAAAUUGAUAUUAAGGGAUCAAAGCCCAUUGUCUCCCUUAGUAAUAUCUAAACCACUUAGUUUCAAUUAGCAGCAGGAUAAGAAUGUUUGCACAAACAACAUCAGAAGAUACAUACCUGAUUAGAAUUAUUUUUACGCAGGAGAUUGUUCAACAAUUCAAGACAGUCCUGCACAACAACACCGCCUUCUGAACCUCCUUCCUCUUUGAUAAUGCUAAAAAUCUUCUCAAAUGCACCCUCAAAGACCACAAUUUUUUGGAUCUCCUCAGCUUCUCUAGUGAGGUAGGUAAGAAGCAAUAAGGCCUCAUUUCGUAUAACCUCUCGAUCCAUAAGCAUAUCCAUCAGCCGAGUUAUACCACGAGGAAUGGUUAGAAUGGCUUCCUGCAACCUGAAAGGAACUCAGAAAAUUUCUUUCCAGCAUAACUGAGGAAAUGCAAUAUAUAUGUAUUGGUAAAGAAGGAAAAUGUUGCUAUAAAUUCACACCUAUUUGGAGAAUUUGUGAGAAGGGCAGUCAAAAUUUGAAGAGUAUAAUACCGUACAUAGAAAUCCUCUUCUUUCUGCCAAAUUGCCAAAAACAAUAAUAAAAAUGUUCUCUAGCUAGACGCAUAAAAAUCCAAAUUAAAUAUGCGGUAAAUCAAAAUGUAUAGAUCAAUCUCACCAAUAAGCUUAGAAGCAGGGAAAUAUUUUCUGCCUCUCGAGAAAGCAAAUCAGUAUUCAUUAAAGCUGGUUGGACCUCAUUCUUUGUCCCUUUUGCAUGAUCGAUAGGUGUAAGAGCACUCACUAGAGUUUCUAGGGC
rnacentral:misc_RNA from 1 species